GCCGGGGUGGCGGAAUGGGUAGACGCACAGGACUUAAAAUCCUGGGGCGGGCAACCGCCGUGUCGGUUCGAGUCCGACCCUCGGCA
rnacentral:tRNA from 1 species